rnacentral:lncRNA from 1 species
GGCUGUGUUCCCCUUCCACGAUAUUUGAGGAGGACACGAAGGUGGCUCCUAGGGUCUUGUUUUGCUGCUCGCUGUGUCCUGCCGGCUUCAGCGUCUUCACUAUAGAAUGCGGAAGUGCCUUUCUCUGGGGGAGGGGCGUGGAAAGAGCAAGACCGCUCAGCACAGACGUGCGUCCAGGCCAGCGGAGGGGGCUGUGCCAGCACGGACACGAGCACAUUUUACUUGAAGAGUCGCUCUCCAGAAAGGAGCGUCGACAGAGGACCCGGGUGACUCACCCAGAGAGUUAAAUCCAUUCAGAAAUUUCCCAUGGAAUCUUAGAGAAAAUUGGCUUUCUAAGGGAUGGAUUUUCAAGUUACAUCAGCAGAGCCUGUGGAAGCCAAACCAAAUGCCACUGUCAGUUUUUGAAUCACAAGUUUACUCGUAACUUCAGAGAACUGGCCGUUCUGUUUCUUCACCUCACACUGGCUUAUCCCCGAGGAUACUGGCACCAUAGACAAAGGAAUUCUGUCUCAACUUCUCAGGUGAACCCCCCGCACUGGCUCCUUCUCACUUUAACAUCCCAUUUGUUAGCUUUGUAGAUGGAGCUCUGGCAGUUUUUCUAUGUCCUGUGGGUCAAAUUAUUAUUUUGCAAAGAUUUUCAAAGUAUCUUUUAAGAAAAGACAGUGCUUUAUAAGUCCCAUAUCUAUUCAAAAAUUCACUUCCA